AGUGAACGCUGGCGGUAUGCCUUACACAUGCAAGUCGAACGGCAGCACAGUAAGAGCUUGCUCGUACGGGUGGCCAGUGGCGGACGGGUGAGGUCUACAUCGGACUCUACUUUUUCGUUGGGGCGAACAUAGGCGAACUUACACCACUUACGCAUUCCACAUGCGAGUGAAAGCACGGGCUCUUCCGCCCUUUCGCGAUUGCCUAGGCCGAUUUCGGAUUAGCUAGUUGGAGGGGUAAAGGCCCACCAAGGCGACGAUCUGUAGCUGGUCUGAGAGGAUGACCAGCCACACUGGAACUGAGACACGGUCCAGACUCCUACGGGAGGCAGCAGUGGGGAAUAUUGGACAAUGGGCGAAAGCCUGAUCCAGCAAUGCCGCGUGUGUGAAGAAGGCCUUCGGGUUGUAAAGCCCUUUUGUUGGGAAAGAAAAGCAGCAGCCUAAUACGCCGCUGGGAUGACGGUACCCGAAGAAUAAGCACCGGCUAACUUCGUG
rnacentral:rRNA from 1 species